rnacentral:rRNA from 1 species
GCAAGUCGAGCGCAGUCCUUCGGGACCGAGCGGCGGACGGGUUAGUAACGCGUGGGAACAUACCCUUCUCUAAGGAAUAGCCUCUGGAAACGGAGAGUAAUACCUUAUACGCCCUUCGGGGGAAAGAUUUAUCGGAGAUGGAUUGGCCCGCGUUAGAUUAGAUAGUUGGUGGGGUAAUGGCCUACCAAGUCGAUGAUGGGUAGCCGAGCUGAGAGGCUGAUC